AGGCCUCUUAUGCAAUGAGGCAGUUAGACUACAGUGUAGUUGACUCAUUUCUUACACGGAAGUCCUCUUCCGAUGUGAUUAACCUUGCCGCAUGUUUGAAUAAAGCAAGGUGUAAAAUUCCAUCGCAGAGACUCAGGUGACAGGAUGCCCAGACUUGUCAAGACAUUCCAAGCCAUGGCUUCGGGGGGGGGAACAGCCACAUCUCCGCUGCCAUCUGUCCAACUGGCAACGCGAGCCACCAUGCCACACAAAAGACAAGAGGAAGUCACCGUUUACACAAGUCAUCUGGCACAGAGACAAAACGAGUUUUAUCUUGAAGAGUUUUCCUUUCAUCAAGUUUAAUUGUAAGCUACCUAAUUUAAAACAAUAUACAUGAUGUAACGAUAGAAUUGUAUCACUCCCUUUUUCCAAAGUGAACUAUUUACUAAUUGUAAAACCAGGUUUAUUUGUGGAGCCUGACUUAAGGGUACAUACAUGCCCUAAUUAAAUAAAUAAAAAACACUGUUAACAUGAA